rfam:Citrus clementina cultivar Clemenules unplaced genomic scaffold scaffold_3, whole genome shotgun sequence.
AUGCCAUAAUGAGGACACCUUCUGAGUAGUUCUUUAAAUCUCUCCCAAGCCUCAUACAAACUCUCAUCUUCAAGUUGAUGAAAAGAAGUGAUCUCAUUCCGCAAGUGAUCUC